rnacentral:rRNA from 1 species
CAGGACGAACGCUGGCGGCAUGCCUAACACAUGCAAGUCGAACGGGGGUAGCAAUACCCUAGUGGCGAACGGGUGAGUAACACAUAAGCAAUCUGCCCUUCACAGGGGGAUAACAGCGGGAAACUGCUGCUAAUACCGCAUAAGACCACGGUACCGCAUGGUACAGGGGUAAAAACGAAUCAGUGGUGAAGGAUGAGCUUAUGUCCCAUUAGCUAGUUGGUGAGAUAACAGCCCACCAAGGCGACGAUGGGUAGCCGACCUGAGAGGGUGAUCGGCCACACUGGAACUGAGACACGGUCCAGACUCCUACGGGAGGCAGCAGUGGGGAAUAUUGGGCAAUGGAAGGAAACUCUUACCCAGCAAUGCCGCGUGAGUGAAGAAGGUCUUCGGAUUGUAAAGCUCUUUGAUUGGGGACGAAGAAAGUGACGGUACCCAAAGAACAAGCCCCGGCUAACUACGUGCCAGCCGCGGC